rnacentral:misc_RNA from 1 species
UAACCACCUUUUAGUCUCUUGCGAUUAAAUUGACAAAAAUGGAAGGAAAGACCCAAUAGUCAACGGAAUCAAAUGUGAGGGAUUAAAUCAUGUAUUUUUUAAAAUACGAGGCCAAGUCAUUAAUUUUAACAUAAUCGAUAGACUAUAUAGUAAUUUUCCCUAAAUUGAAAUAUCAUGUUUAACAAUGUGACUGAAAGCUAGGCUAUAUCGUUUUGAAUGUUCGAACACACGCACACACAAAAUUUAUUCUUUUAAGUUAAAAAAAGCAAGUCUAGCAACCUUGAUCACAUGUAUCAAUUUACCCAUAUACACCACUACUGGUCGGAUAAAAGACAGACCCUGGCUUAACAGAAACAAGAAAAACCAAAUAUGAUGAUCUCAUAACAAAAUCAAUAUUUAGGGUUUAUUCAGAAAAUUACUCAUCUUGGAAUUGUUGCUAAUUUAAAUGAAGAAGGUCUUAAGAUUUUAAGUUUUUAAAUGACAAACAAAUGAAGAAGACAAGUCUUGUUGCAUUGGUGAGGUUACUCUACUUUUAAUGAUUAAGCAGAAUCCCCAAAUUCCCACACCAUAAAAUGUCAUUAGAGCUUGCACUGAAACUGCUGAAGCCUGAAGUUGUGCAAUUUGAAAUCAGGAUGGAACAAUUAUCUCCUAAUGCAAAGACUAAUAAUUGGGCUAGCAGGCACAGCAUAACACAAUUAUAUAUUCUACCACAGUUUCAGUACCAUUUCCUGUAGCCACUUUCAUAUGGCAUGUUCAACUAAGAAACACUAUUUUUCCAAUCCUAGGCAUCAGACAGGAGGAAAUCAAUUACAAUAGUGAAUAGAAAGAAGGUGGCAUUAAUAGUGAAUGCCAUAAUAAGUUUUCUGCAAAUUUCCCAACUCGAGAUGGGCAUAAAGCUCAUAGAAAAAGCACACAUGGUGAAGAACCAAUGACUUCCAUUUCUUUUUUAUAAUAAACUUGUAUGACAAUGUCAGGUUAUGGUAUCAAUAAAUCCUAGCCUGACCAUUUUAACUUUCCCUUUCAUUCAUGGCAACAAUCUCCUUUUCUAUUUUUUGCUCCG